UACGUAGGGUGCAAGCGUUAAUCGGAAUUACUGGGCGUAAAGCGUGCGCAGGCGGUUAUGUAAGACAGGUGUGAAAUCCCGGGCUUAACCUGGGAACUGCAUUUGUGACUGCAUAGCUAGAGUACGGUAGAGGGGGAUGGAAUUCCGCGUGUAGCAGUGAAAUGCGUAGAUAUGCGGAGGAACACCGAUGGCGAAGGCAAUCCCCUGGACCUGUACUGACGCUCAUGCACGAAAGCGUGGGGAGCAAACAGG
rnacentral:rRNA from 1 species